rnacentral:sRNA from 1 species
CGCCAGUCAUUCGGUCGGUUACCGCAAACCGCGGGCCGGAUGCAAUCGGUUGCUGCA